rnacentral:rRNA from 1 species
CAGUAGCCGCGGGAAAACGAAGGGUGCAAGCGUUACUCGGAAUUACUGGGCGUAAAGCGUGCGUAGGUGGUGGUUUAAGUCCGUUGUGAAAGCCCUGGGCUCAACCUGGGAAUUGCAGUGGAUACUGGGUCACUAGAGUGUGGUAGAGGAUAGUGGAAUUUCCGGUGUAGCAGUGAAAUGCGUAGAGAUCGGAAGGAACAUCUGUGGCGAAGGCGACUAUCUGGGCCAACACUGACACUGAGGCACGAAAGCGUGGGGAGCAAACAGGAUUAGAUACCCGCGUAGUCCCUGUCUCUUAUAU